rnacentral:rRNA from 1 species
UACGUAGGUGGCAAGCGUUGUCCGGAUUUACUGGGCGUAAAGCGUAUGCAGGCGGAUGAGUAAGUAGGAAGUGAAAGGUUGGAGCUCAACUCUAACACGGCUCCCUAUACUGCUUGUCUUGAGUGCCGGAGAGGACAAGGGAACUUCACGUGUAGCGGUGAAAUGCGUUGAGAUGUGAAGGAACACCAAUGGCGAAAGCACUUGUCUGGACGGAAACUGACGCUGAGAUACGAAAGCCAAGGGAGCGAGCAGG